rnacentral:rRNA from 1 species
UACGAAGGGGGCUAGCGUUGCUCGGAAUGACUGGGCGUAAAGGGCGCGUAGGCGGAUCGGAUAGUCAGGCGUGAAAUUCCUGGGCUCAACCUGGGGGCUGCGUUUGAUACGUUUGGUCUAGAGUUUGGAAGAGGGUUGUGGAAUUCCCAGUGUAGAGGUGAAAUUCGUAGAUAUUGGGAAGAACACCGGUGGCGAAGGCGGCAACCUGGUCCUUGACUGACGCUGAGGCGCGAAAGCGUGGGGAGCAAACAG